rnacentral:pre_miRNA from 1 species
CAGUGCUUUCCUCCUGGAAAUCUUGUUAUUAUGCAAAUUCUGAUCCAAUAGGCCUGAAUAAGAGUCCAAGAUUCUGCAUUUUUAACCAGCUCCAAGGCAAUGUUGAU